rnacentral:rRNA from 1 species
AACGGUUAUACUGAUAUUAGGUUAAUUAUAAUUAUAAAGUUAGGUAGUUAGAUAUAUUUUUUUUAAUAUUUGUUGAAARAUUUAAUUUUCGAAUGGUAUAAUAUAAUAGGUUUUUAAAUAUACUUUGUUUUUCAAAUAUAAUUGAAGCUACGAAAAUUUUAGUUUAGACUGGGAUUAGAUACCCCAUUAUUUAAUUUCGUAAAUUGAUUUUUUUUUAUCUACUGGGGGAGUACGAGUUUAGUUUGCUUAAAAUUCAAAGGACUUGGCGGUAUCUUAAAUUUUUAGGGGAAUUUGUUUCGUAAUUGAUGUUCCACGUUAAUACUUUACCUUAAUUUGUUUAGCAGUUUUUAUAUCGUUGUCAUAUAUUUAUAUUGUGAGAUAUUGAUUAGUAAAUAGUGUAAAUUUUUAUGUUAGAUCAAGAUGAGGCUUAUGUUAAGGAGAAAAUGAAUUACAAUUAUUAUAUGUAUAUUACGGAUUAUUAACAGAAUUGUUAUUUUGAAGGUGGACUUAAAAGUAAAUUAAUUUAUAGAUUUAUUUUGAAUAAUUAUUUAAGAUAUGU